CGCAGCGUAGCUAAGUUUGGAAAGGAUAAACGCUGAAAGCAUCUAAGCGUGAAGCCAACUCUAAGAUGAAUCUUCUCUAAGCUCUCUAGAAGACUACUAGUUUGAUAGGCUGGGUGUGUAAUGGAUGAAAGUCCUUUAGCUGACCAGUACUAAUAGAGCGUUUGGCUUAUCUUUAAUAAAGCAU
rnacentral:rRNA from 1 species